GAUCCUGGCUCAGGAUGAACGCUGGCGGCGUGCUUAACACAUGCAAGUCGAACGGGAAACAUUUCAUUGAGGCUUCGGCGAAUUUGAUCUGUUUCUAGUGGCGGACGGGUGAGUAACGCGUGGGUAACCUGCCUUAUACUGGGGGAUAACAGCCAGAAAUGACUGCUAAUACCGCAUAAGCGCACAGAACCGCAUGGUUCGGUGUGAAAAACUCCGGUGGUAUAAGAUGGACCCGCGUUGGAUUAG
rnacentral:rRNA from 1 species